rnacentral:lncRNA from 1 species
UGAGUUUUCCUCGGAUAUUUCUUUCAUGGAUAUUCCCUUAAGUCAUUCCUGCUCUACUCUCAGGGACUAAAUCAAUUUAUUUUACUUGAUUGAUUUAGGAUUUAUCUUUGUUCAGUAACUGCCUUCUUUAUAUAAGGUCAGGUUAAAUUUGGAAGCUUAAAAAUGAGUAAUGCUGUGUUUCUUAUUAAUUGCUUCAUUUUAUUAACUUGUUGGGAGGAAAUUUUAGCAUCUUGAUCUUAGAAGAAAUUUUGAAGCAGGUCUUUGCAAUAUUUCUUGGAUAUGAAUAGUCAAAAUGAUUAAUGGGUUUUGGUAAAGUUAUCAGGAACUUGCUUUAUAAUUUGAAAAUUGGAAACCUUGGUCUUGGAAAACAUUUAAGGUAGCUUAGUUGUUGCUUAAAUCUUAAACUUUAUUUUACUUUCUAAAAAUUCUUAAAUUGGUACUUUUUUAUAUUGAACUUUUAAACAAAGCAUUUUGGAUAGUUCUUGCCAUUAUUUU